UACGUAGGUCCCGAGCGUUGUCCGGAUUAUUGGGCGUAAAGCGAGCGCAGGUGGUUUAUUAAGUCUGGUGUAAAAGGCAGUGGCUCAACCAUUGUAUGCAUUGGAAACUGGUAGACUUGAGUGCAGGAGAGGAGAGUAGAAUUCCAUGUGUAGCGGUGAAAUGCGUAGAUAUAUGGAGGAACACCGGUGGCGAAAGCGGCUCUCUGGCCUGUAACUGACACUGAGGCUCGAAAGCGUGGGGAGCAAACAGG
rnacentral:rRNA from 1 species